AGCAAGAUGUGGUUUCAUGUGGUGUGUUUGCGCUUAAAUUUGCAGAGUGCAUACUGGAAAACAAGGACCUGAACUUUCCAUCAGCAGCAGAAGCUGUUAAUACCAUGAGACUCAACAUGUCUUCCACACUUCUCUCAGAAUCAGAGUCAGUGGAGACUCUGCAGACACUGUGGCAGUGAGGACACAGAAGAUCACAUGUGGAUCACAUGUGACAGAUGCAACUGGUGGUACCACCAAGGCUGCAUUAAGGAC